GAUGAAGAACGCAGCGAAAUGCGAUACUUGGUGUGAAUUGCAGAAUCCCGUGAACCAUCGAGUCUUUGAACGCAAGUUGCGCCCGAAGCCAUUAGGCCGAGGGCACGCCUGCCUGGGCGUCACACGUCGUUGCCCCCCCAUCUACUCCUUCGGGAUUGCGGGGGGCGGAUGAUGGCCUCCCGUGCGCCUCGUCGCGCGGUUGGCAUAACUACCAAGUCCUCGGCGACGCACGCCACGACAAUCGGUGGUUGCGAAACCUCGGUUGCCCGUCGUGUGCGGUCGUCGCGCAUCGAGGGCUCGAAAAAAUUGCCGGGCUCCGGCUCGGCUUUCAACGCGACCCCAGGUCAGGCGGGGUUACCCGCUGAAUUUAAGCAUAUCAAUAAGCGGAGGA
rnacentral:misc_RNA from 1 species